rnacentral:snoRNA from 1 species
CCUUGCCAUUUGGUAUCUGACAUGUGGUCUUUUGUGACUAUUUGUCUCGAAAUAUGGCAUAUAACUAGGGGGAACAGACCUUGCGACAUUGGUGGCUCCUCUUAUGAUCCUCCAAUUACUAUAUCGCCGUUUACAUUU